UACGAAGGGGGCUAGCGUUGCUCGGAAUCACUGGGCGUAAAGGGUGUGUAGGCGGGUCUUUAAGUCAGAGGUGAAAUCCUGGAGCUCAACUCCAGAACUGCCUUUGAUACUGAGGAUCUUGAGUACGGGAGAGGUGAGUGGAACUGCGAGUGUAGAGGUGAAAUUCGUAGAUAUUCGGAAGAACACCAGUGGCGAAGGCGACUUACUGGACACAUAUUGACGCUGAGGUGCGAAAGCGUGGGGAGCAAACAGG
rnacentral:rRNA from 1 species